rnacentral:lncRNA from 1 species
UUUUCACAAAAAAACCUUUUUAUAAACAUACAAGUUUAUACACAUAAGCCUAUAAAAAGGAAUCGACUUUCAUCAAAAUAGAAUUGUCCUAUGAUUAACUAGUCAGACAAGAACGCUGAUUCUUCGGGCUUCACCUUCUAAACUUCGGGCCUCGGGUCCUUCACCGCUGUCAACUAGGGACUUGAAAAUGAUAUCCCACAAUGGGGUGAGACAGUGUCAUAGUAAGUUCAACCCCUUAAGACCUGAUUAGGAAGAAAAUACACCUAAAGGGCUGCCUAAGUACAAUCACGAAUCAUAGGGCUUACCUUGGCCUUAGUUCCUUCCUACAAGUCAAUUCAAUAAACAAUCAUCGAAUUACAUCAUCACAUCAAUCAAGAAUUCAUAUCGAGUCAUCGAUUAAUCGACUCAGUCGAUUACAAGCCAACGAGACCAUUCUCCGAUCAUCUCAUUUAUUCAAACUCAACGCUGACUUACAGCUUAGCGAGCAUGGCCUACUAAAUCUUUGGCGGUAAUGCUGAAUUAUGGCUCAGUGGGCACAGCCUACUAAAUAUUUGGUGGUAAUGCUGAAUUACGGUUCAGCGAGCACAAUCGAUUCCAAAUUCGAUGGUAGAUUAUGGUCUAGUGGACACAACCAUACUUUGGUGGUAAUGCUGAAUUAUGGCUUAGCAGCACAACCGAUUCCAAGUUCGGUGGUUUUCUUGAUAUAACCCACAACAUCACACGAUUAUUUACCCCCAGCCAACAACAUUACACUUCUCAACUUGAUUACUCAAUUAACAAGACAUCUUGGCCCAUUUUCCUCAUAUUAACAGUACUCGAUAAAAUAAUCGUGUAUGGGUACACGGUCGGCCUUAACAAAAAAUAUAAUAUCUUUACUUUCAAAAUUUCCACAAUUUAUAUAGUCUAUAAAAACAUUUUUGGCGCUAUAAACCAACGCCCAGUAAUUUUCUAAUUAAAUACUGAAAUUUAAUAAAUUUAGGAAUAAAUUCCCAAAUUCCCAAAUCACACACAAUUAGCACAAAUUAGAGCUCAAUUAAAUAAAUAGAUUAUACCACUACAAUCAGCAUAAAAAUCCGAUCACCGGCUAUUCCGUUCUAAUUUCCGGAAAAUAAAUAAUUACGGAAAUUAAUAAAUAAAUGCCAAAAAUUCGACUUAGGCCCAAAAAAACCUAAUUGGAAGCCAAGAUGAGCUUGGAAAAAUUUCUGAACUACUCUAAAUUAAUACUUGAGCUUGUCUAGGCCCUAAUUGCACUAAACUAUCCACCUUAACAUGCAUCGAUAAUUAACUAAUUUAUUAAACCGUUCUAAUUAUCCACUAAACCAAGCUUAGUCUAAACUAAUCAACCCUUAAACAUCAUUAACUUACUAAGCGAGGAUUAGUGAGUUAAACUCACCUGAUUAAUGAUAUGGUCAGAUCAAAACGAUGGAGACGCGGCGAGGAAUGAAAAGCUCCAAAGCGGCAAUGCCAACGGGGCAUGGAUCGGGCUUGAAAAUUGGCCCGAGGAAGCCCACGACGCUGCUGGUUUUCCUUGGCUGAAGGGCUGCUUUGAGUGGCUGAUUUCGCACGGGACGGCAAGCUCAAUCGCGGACGGGACUUCUCAUGGACGAAGGAGGAAGGCGAGCUGGCAGCGUGGCUUUGGUGGGACAAAAACGGAGACAGCAAGGAGGAGAAAAUGGAGUCGCCAAAGGGGAUGAGCAAAUGCGAAAGAGAGAGAUUGAAGGGGAUGAGUGCGUCGGCCAAGCAAAAAGAGGAUAAGCUUGACAAAAAAAAAGUGAAAGAUAAUGGGAGAGAAGGAAAAUGGGACACGGCAGAGAGAGGGAC